CACACUCCCAGGGUGUGGCCAUUGGAGCUGAUUCAUGGACGAGCUUGGAGACCCCCUACGAUUUACUAAAUGCCAACCUCUUAUACACCAGGACCUGCGUGGGCUCCUUUAAGUGGCAGGAGCCCUCUCCCAUGGGCAUACCAAGGCCAUCGUCUCCUGGGACGGGAGUACCUCGGGAAGAAGUUUGAACUCUCCUCCAGUUCCACUGACUUGAGAAUGACCUGACACUGACAUGGGGAUGUGAUGCUGGAAGCUGCAGCUGCCCCAUUGCAACCAUGAGGGGGUGAGCCAAGACCACACCAAUGUGCAAAGGAUCAGAAAGAUGGAAGGGAUAUUCUGGAACUUUCAUGGCUCAGAGUUCUUGUAAUGUGGGAGAAUAAAUGAACUCACUGCUUAAACCA